rnacentral:rRNA from 1 species
CCUACGUGUGGCAGCAGUAGGGAAUUUUCGGCAAUGGGGGGAACCCUGACCGAGCAACGCCGCGUGAAGGAAGAAGGAAUUCGUUCUGUAAACUUCUGUUAUAAAGGAAGAAAGACGGAUGGAGGAAAUGACAUCCGAGUGACGGUACUUUAUGAGACAGCCACGGCUAACUACGUGCCAGCAGCCGCGGUAAUACGUAGGUGGCAAUCGUUAUCCGGAAUUAUUUGUCGUAAAGAGGGAGCCGGCGGCAGCAAAGGUCUGUGGUGAAAGACUGAAGCUUAACUUCAGUAAGCCGUAGAGACCGGGCAGCUAUAGUGCAGGAGAGGGUGGGGGAAUUCCAUGUGUAGCGGGAAAAUGCGUAGAUAUCUGGAAGAACACCAGUGGCGAAGGCGGCCGCCUGGCAUGUUACUGACGCUGAGGCACGAAAGCGUGGGGAGCAAAUAGGAUUAGAUACCCCAGUAGUC